CUAACAAUCAAACUAACCCAUUGUCAGCCACAACCAAACUGACUGACCAUUGUAACCUAGCAAAACAAUUAAAUAUAAUCAUUAUAAGAUAACAAAAAUCUCAUUAUCUCACGUUGUAACAGAAAUGACCAUAGUAAAAGAGCACCAGAAAUAUAAAAUCUAACAACCAAACUCAAAAUGUAGUCCUGAUCGUUGUAACCUAGCACUGCUUAUAGUUAUGUUAUUAAAAAUCUAAACUCACCAAGGAGCCAACUGGCCAUUUCAAACGUGUGCCACAACUACAAGUAAUCAUUACAAUCAUACAACCAAACUAUUAAUUGUAAGCCAGCAGCCAAACUGACCAUUGUGAACUAGCUCAACAAUUAAAUGUAUGUAUUGUAAUCUAACAAUAAACUCAUAAUCUAACAAAGUAAAUAAAGUAACCGUUGUAAAGUAGCACUUUCAAGUGUACAUAUUAUAGUCAUAAUCUGACACCUAAAAUCAAAUUUUUACCUAGCUACCAAAUUGAUCAUUGUCGCCUACCUUUGCACAAUAUCUUAUCAUUAUAGUCUAGCAACCAAUCUGACAAAUGAAAGCCAACAAUCAAACUUUACAUGGUAAUCUAGAACCAUAACUUAUCAUUAUCAUCUAACGACGAAACUGAUUAUGCAUAAUGGUAACCAAGCAACCAAAAUGACCAUUGUAACCCAGCAUUACUUCUACAUAAUAGAUUUUAAAAAGACCCUAUAAUCAUUGUUACCUACAAUGUAUCAACCAAUCUCAUUAUAAUAACCUAGCAACUCAUCAUUGUAACGUAACAACACACAUCAUCAUUAAAACCUAGAACCAAACUAAAUGAGUUAAUCAUUGUAAACUACGGCAACUGUUAUUCAUCGUUACCUAGCAAAGAAACUAUGGAACCAAUUUUAUCAUUUAUAUACUAAUCGCAGACUUGUAGCAAAAGUUACCAUUGUAAACAAUCAGCAGUAUUAACAAUAAGUUCACAUAUGAUUUAUUUUAUAAAUGGAAGAUUUUUCCACUGUACUCCAAAAUGAGGAACACAGAGUGAUAUAGGGGUAUAUUGGGGGGAAUAUGACAUAGCGACAUUUACCCAAAACAAAAAUAAAAAACAAAAGAUACCAAGAACACAAGAGAAUUAAAAGUCAAUUGUUCAUGAACAAUUGAAAGGUCGUUUCUUUUUCCUUUUAUUGAUAGUCUUCUUAGUUAAAAAAAAACAAAAAACAUUGUUGCUAAGGAAUUUUAUGUUCAUUACAAGUGGUUGUUAAGGACAAAAAUCAUUCAUAAGGAUAAAAAUAUUACUUCCAGUAUUAAGAAUGUGAUAUGCACUAUUCGUAGUCUUUAAAGUUAAAAAAAUAAGUGAUUGUUAAGGACUAAUAUAUCGUUGCUAGGGACAAAAAUGUCAUUUCCAGGGACCUUGACCUCUGACCUUGACUUUACUUUGUAGAUCAUAUUAUGCUGAACAUUUUUGCAUUUCAAAGUUUCUUUCUAUCUCUAACCUCAUUUGAGUAAUAAGCAAAAAAUCAUCAUUUCGGACAAAAAAAAACAGUGUUUGUGCCCUACGUCCAUAAUAGUUGGUCUAAUAAUUUUGGACCCAACAUAACAAAUGUAGAUCUUGACAAGA
rnacentral:lncRNA from 1 species